rnacentral:rRNA from 1 species
UACGUAGGGGGCUAGCGUUGUCCGGAAUUAUUGGGCGUAAAGAGCUUGUAGGCGGUUUGUCGCGUCUGCUGUGAAAUUUCGGGGCUCAACCCCGAACUUGCAGUGGGUACGGGCAGACUGGAGUGCGGUAGGGGAGAAUGGAAUUCCUGGUGUAGCGGUGGAAUGCGCAGAUAUCAGGAGGAACACCGAUGGCGAAGGCAGUUCUCUGGGCCGUAACUGACGCUGAGGAGCGAAAGCGUGGGGAGCGAACAGG